GUAGUCUCGCACAGAUGCAUAUCAAUAAGCGGAGGAAAAGAAACUAACUAGGAUUCCCUCAGUAACGGCGAGUGAAGCGGGAAGAGCUCAAAUUUGAAAUCUUCAAGGUUCUACCUUGACGAAUUGUAGUUUAAAGAAGUGUUUUCUGUUGGAGUUUUGGUAAAAGUUCUUUGGAAUAGGACAUCAUAGAGGGUGAGAAUCCCGUAUUUGACCAUUAUUUCCAGCUUUGUGAUACACUUUCAAAGAGUCGGAUUGUUUGGGAAUGCAGUCCAAAAUGGGUGGUAAAUUUCAUCUAAAGCUAAAUACUGGCGAGAGACCGAUAGCGAACAAGUACCGUGAGGGAAAGAUGAAAAGAACUUUGAAAAGAGAGUUAAACAGUACGUGAAAUUGUCAGAAGGGAAGCGUUUGACACCAGUGUUGUUUUUCUGAAAAUCAAUUAAAAGAACUGUUUAUGCUAGCUGUUGUAUGACUUUAUCAGCUAUCUGCACUCUUAGUUCUUGAUCUUUUCUUUAAUGCACUUUUCAGUUUAACAAGUCAACAUCAAUUUCUUUUGUUGUAAAAGGGUCAUUGGAAGGUGGCUUUCUUUUCGGAGAAAGUGUUUAUAGCCUUUGGCCUCUGCAAUCGGAGAGAUUGAGGUCUGCAGCGUAGAUCCUUCGGGGUUAGAUACAUUUGUGCUAAGUUAUAGCCUUACAUAGACAACUUGUUGACUAUGAUCAGUCAUGUAGCUUACUCGCUUAUGCUAUUUUACCUACGCUUAGGAUGUUGAAGUCAUCGUAUCGCGC
rnacentral:rRNA from 1 species